rnacentral:misc_RNA from 1 species
GUUUUUGAGAUGCUUUCUUGUGUUACAUGACUUUUGCUAGUAAUUUGGAACGAUUGUCUCUUGCUUAAUUUAUGAAAGCAAAAGUUGGUUGAUUUUCUAUAAGAUAGUUGAAGCAACCAGCUCUUGAAGAAAUGUAGCUCUCUGCCUUUUCUCUUCAAAAUCCUCUUCUAGUUCUGGAUCAGAUACAGCUAGCUUGCUGCUUUCUAUUUCAGGAAUAGCAGUAUCACAAACAGAGGACUUAUCUUGCUGCCUGCAUUUCAGAUCAGAAGGAGGAAAAUUGCAGAGAAAUGGCAAUAAAAGUGGAUCAGGAGCAGAUUCUUGAACCUUAUAUCGACCAAAUACUGAAUCUGUGCCAAAAAAUGAAGCUAUUUCUCGAGGAUCCUUUCCGAUCAUAGCUGUUGCAUUAUUCCAGAAGCCUGGUUUUAGGUAAUUUCUUCUCCUCUUUACUGAGUGUGCAUGUUGCACAGAAAAAUGUCCAGUAGGAUCUUUGCCCAGAGUUGCAGCACAUAUGGGACAGACCGCGUUUUUUAAGUCAAAACAAUGUUCUUCUUGCAAAUGGCUGCAAAGCAUUGGCACUUCUAUUUCGCCAUAACAGAAAGGGCAAGGGAACCAAGCUCUAAUGGCUUCUUCAGCUUCAUUCAAGAAAGAAUCAGAAUUGCUUAAAUUGGUACAUUGAAAGGUAGAAAGAUUAUUGGCUGAGUUUUCUCUUGUAGUCCAAAAUUCCACAUCCAUCUUCUAAUUAUUAUUUUUGGACAAA